GACGAACGCUGGCGGCGUGCUUAACACAUGCAAGUCGAACGGAAAGGCCCUGCUUUUGUGGGGUGCUCGAGUGGCGAACGGGUGAGUAACACGUGAGUAACCUGCCCUUGACUUUGGGAUAUCUUCAGGAAACUGGUGCACUUCCGGGGAAGGAUUUCUCGCCUCUGGUGGGGGCUGGGAAGUUUUGGCCGUUGGGGUUGGACUGGCGGGCUACCAGCCUGUUGGUGGGGUCGUGGCUUAGCAAGGCAUUGGCCGGUUGGGGGCCUGAGAGGGGAACCGGCCACAUUGGGACUGAGAUGCGGCCCAGACUCCUACGGGAGGCAGGAGUGGGGAAUAUUGCACAAUGGGCGGAAGCCUGAUGCAGCAACGCCGCGUGCGGGAUGACGGGAUUCGGGUUGUAAAGCGAUUUCGUCUGUGACGAAGCGUGAGUGACGGUAAUGGGUGAAGAAGCACCGGCUAACUACGUG
rnacentral:rRNA from 1 species